rnacentral:rRNA from 1 species
GUUAAGCGACUAAGCGUACACGGUGGAUGCCCUGGCAGUCAGAGGCGAUGAAGGACGUGCUAAUCUGCGAUAAGCGUCGGUGAGGUGAUAUGAACCGUUAUAACCGGCGAUUUCCGAAUGGGGAAACCCAGUGUGUUUCGACACACUAUCAUUAACUGAAUCCAUAGGUUAAUGAGGCGAACCGGGGGAACUGAAACAUCUAAGUACCCCGAGGAAAAGAAAUCAACCGAGAUUCCCCCAGUAGCGGCGAGCGAACGGGGAGGAGCCCAGAGCCUGAAUCAGUGUGUGUGUUAGUGGAAGCGUCUGGAAAGGCGUGCGAUACAGGGUGACAGCCCCGUACACAAAAAUGCACAUAUUGUGAGCUCGAUGAGUAGGGCGGGACACGUGGUAUCCUGUCUGAAUAUGGGGGGACCAUCCUCCAAGGCUAAAUACUCCUGACUGACCGAUAGUGAACCAGUACCGUGAGGGAAAGGCGAAAAGAACCCCGGCGAGGGGAGUGAAAAAGAACCUGAAACCGUGUACGUACAAGCAGUGGGAGCCUCUUAAUGGGGUGACUGCGUACCUUUUGUAUAAUGGGUCAGCGACUUAUAUUCUGUAGCAAGGUUAACCGAAUAGGGGAGCCGAAGGGAAACCGAGUCUUAACUGGGCGUUAAGUUGCAGGGUAUAGACCCGAAACCCGGUGAUCUAGCCAUGGGCAGGUUGAAGGUUGGGUAACACUAACUGGAGGACCGAACCGACUAAUGUUGAAAAAUUAGCGGAUGACUUGUGGCUGGGGGUGAAAGGCCAAUCAAACCGGGAGAUAGCUGGUUCUCCCCGAAAGCUAUUUAGGUAGCGCCUCGUGAAUUCAUCUCCGGGGGUAGAGCACUGUUUCGGCAAGGGGGUCAUCCCGACUUACCAACCCGAUGCAAACUGCGAAUACCGGAGAAUGUUAUCACGGGAGACACACGGCGGGUGCUAACGUCCGUCGUGAAGAGGGAAACAACCCAGACCGCCAGCUAAGGUCCCAAAGUCAUGGUUAAGUGGGAAACGAUGUGGGAAGGCCCAGACAGCCAGGAUGUUGGCUUAGAAGCAGCCAUCAUUUAAAGAAAGCGUAAUAGCUCACUGGUCGAGUCGGCCUGCGCGGAAGAUGUAACGGGGCUAAACCAUGCACCGAAGCUGCGGCAGCGACACUAUGUGUUGUUGGGUAGGGGAGCGUUCUGUAAGCCUGUGAAGGUGGCCUGUGAGGGUUGCUGGAGGUAUCAGAAGUGCGAAUGCUGACAUAAGUAACGAUAAAGCGGGUGAAAAGCCCGCUCGCCGGAAGACCAAGGGUUCCUGUCCAACGUUAAUCGGGGCAGGGUGAGUCGACCCCUAAGGCGAGGCCGAAAGGCGUAGUCGAUGGGAAACAGGUUAAUAUUCCUGUACUUGGUGUUACUGCGAAGGGGGGACGGAGAAGGCUAUGUUGGCCGGGCGACGGUUGUCCCGGUUUAAGCGUGUAGGCUGGUUUUCCAGGCAAAUCCGGAAAACCAAGGCUGAGGCGUGAUGACGAGGCACUACGGUGCUGAAGCGACAAAUGCCCUGCUUCCAGGAAAAGCCUCUAAGCAUCAGGUAACAUCAAAUCGUACCCCAAACCGACACAGGUGGUCAGGUAGAGAAUACCAAGGCGCUUGAGAGAACUCGGGUGAAGGAACUAGGCAAAAUGGUGCCGUAACUUCGGGAGAAGG